GUGGGGAAUAUUGGACAAUGGGCGCAAGCCUGAUCCAGCCAUGCCGCGUGAGUGAUGAAGGCCCUAGGGUUGUAAAGCUCUUUCAGUGGGGACGAUAAUGACGGUACCCACAGAAGAAGCCCCGGCUAACUUCGUGCCAGCAGCCGCGGUAAUACGAAUGGGGCUAGCGUUGUUCGGAUUUACUGGGCGUAAAGCGCACGUAGGCGGAUCGUUAAGUCGAGGGUGAAAUCCUGGAGCUCAACUCCAGAACUGCCUUCGAUACUGGCGAUCUUGAGUCCGGAAGAGGUGAGUGGAACUCCUAGUGUAGAGGUGGAAUUCGUAGAUAUUAGGAAGAACACCAGUGGCGAAGGCGGCUCACUGGUCCGGUACUGACGCUGAGGUGCGAAAGCGUGGGGAGCAAACAGGAUUAGAUACCCUAGUAGUCC
rnacentral:rRNA from 1 species